rnacentral:rRNA from 1 species
GACGAACGCUGGCGGCGUGCUUAACACAUGCAAGUCGAACGGUAAGGCCCUGCUUUUGUGGGGUGCUCGAGUGGCGAACGGGUGAGUAACACGUAAGUAACCUGCCCUUGACUUUUGGAUAACUUCAGGAAACUCGGGCUCAUACCGGAUAGGUGCUCCUGCUGCAUGGUGGGUGUUGGAAAGUUUGGGCGGUUGGGGAUGGUAUCGCGGUGUAUCAGCUUGUUGGUGGGGUAGUGGCUUACCACGGCAUUGAGGGGGAGCCGGCCUGAGAGGGUGAUCGGACAGAGAGGGGGUGAGGAACGGCACAGAAGGCAGCGGGAGGCAGUAGUGGAGAAUAUGGGAAAACGGGCGGAAGCCAGAUGGAGCAAGGGAGGGAGGGGGAUGAGUGGCAUAGGGUUGUAAACAGCGAAGGAGUGGGAUGAAGCGUGAGUGACGGUAAUGGGUAAAGAAGCACCGGCUAACUACGUG